CUAUGUACAAGUUCUCUCGAUUCUCUGUCUUUUGUUGGUGGUCUACGUGAUGGUGACCCGAGCAUGUAGGACUACUUGUUAAGGGAAAGUCCUAUUGAUCCAUUCUGAAGUAAUACCAAGAAACUGAAAAUGUAAAAUACAGGUGAUUCAAUAUGAAGGGAUGCUCAGAAACAGGACAUAAAGGUGAUUCAGUAUGAAGGGAUGCUCAGAAACAGGACAUAAAGGUAACUUAAGUUGUGUUCUGAAAAAAGGAUUAGCAUUAGGUUGCAAUCAAAAAGAUCUUACAUGAAUAAGUAGAUGUACAGGAAAACCAUGAAAAGGAACGAUAAAGCUAAAGUUGAACAGGCAUGGAAAACACUGACAUUUUUCUCUUUUUUCUCCUCGCUGGCUGAGCAGUUGUUGUAGGAAAAGUUUCUGAGUAUUGUCUGAGUUCGGACUCGAGAAUCCAUACUGUCUGCUUAGAGAGGAAGUAAUGACCACAGUGCUCUUUAAUGUAAACAUGCCAACACAUCUGUUAUUUAAAAACUGAACUAUGAACUUGGAAACUCAGGAAAGGUGUAUUCAUGAAGUUUUAAAAGAAUGAAAUGUCCUUCAAAAAUCAGUGAAAUAAAGUUAUAACAAAAUCAAUGUUUUAGGUACAAACUGUAUGAAGUAAUGGAAAGUUGUACAAGCUCAAGCACGAAUGGGAAUAUUGACUCAUGAGAAAGAAUAACACUACUGUAUAUGCAACACUGUAUGAAAUAGAAGUUGUAGAAACUUUAGUAUGUAAAAA